GAACUCUGAUGGAUUUAUGGAGGUCUUUCCCCGUGGGUCUAAUAGUAUACAUAUGCCAGAGUGAAUCGCAGCUUCAAACCAUUGCCCAGCCCUAUCAACUGUGGGCUGUAAGGACUGAAAGAGGCUGUACAGUU
ensembl:snoRNA